rnacentral:rRNA from 1 species
UUUUUGCAGAACUCAAUGACUUCCUGGUAGAUGCCGGCGUAACAACGAUCAGGGAUCGUAUAGCUUGUGUCCUGCAGCUGGCCGUCCGGGCCCCACAUCUUGCCCGAGGUGCGAAUGGCUGCCGGCAUGGACGCAUCGAUAAUGACGUUACUCGGCACAUGCAGGU